CCUACGGGAGGCAGCAGUGAGGAAUAUUGGUCAAUGGACGAGAGUCUGAACCAGCCAAGUAGCGUGAAGGAUGACUGCCCUAUGGGUUGUAAACUUCUUUUAUAGGGGAAUAAAACGUGCCACGUGUGGGAUUUUGUAUGUACCAUAUGAAUAAGGAUCGGCUAACUCCGUGCCAGCAGCCGCGGUAAUACGGAGGAUCCGAGCGGUAUCCGGAUUUAUUGGGUUUAAAGGGAGCGUAGGGGGAUUGUUAAGGCAGUUGUGCAAGUUUGCGGCUCAACCGUAAAAUUGCAGUUGAAACUGGCAGUCUUGCGUACAGUAGAGGUGGGCGGAAUUCGUGGUGUAGCGG
rnacentral:rRNA from 1 species